AAGUCGUAACAAGGUUUCCGUAGGUGAACCUGCGGAAGGAUCAUUAACACUUUUAUCCACGUGUCUAGACAUCCGUCUAUGACAUAAACCCCCUUCAUAGCGAACUAGUCGGGUGGUGUUGGCUUUUUUUACCAAAGUCUUCAUCAUUCCGUCAUUUUUUUCUCCUUAUUUUUUAAUCAUUUUUAAAACCCAAUUGAAACUUCUAGACUGAAACUUUGUUGUAGGUAGCGAAAGUUACUUGCAUCGAAAAAAACAAAAUUCUAAACAACUCUUAACAACGGAUAUCUUGGUUCUC
rnacentral:misc_RNA from 1 species